ensembl:lncRNA
AAAGAUUUCCAUUUGCAGAAUUAAGUUCAAUUUUGGGCCUACGUGACAAGCCACAUUUUAAUGACAUCUUUCCCCAGGUAUGGCUCAAGCUUGUAUGUGGGCUCUAGAUUGGAAGAAUAAAUUCUGGGGACAUUUGAGACUUUUUUAGAUGCUGGUGAGAUAGUCAACCCUCGUGAAUGAAAAAGUUCUGGGGAGAGCCUCUGGACAUUGUUUUCAGGAAGAUUGAUUCUGAUCAUCUUAUCAGCCAAGGCAUAUGACCAGGGAGAGUGCUGGGAGCAGGCAGGCCGUUUCCACCACCGUGACACAGAAACAAACGGCAGAUUAUCUGCUGGGUACAAAAGAGUUCAACAUGUUCAGCCACCAUCUGCCCAACUGCAAAUUCAGCAGGAAAGAAGCACAGGUGAAGUUGAGAGGAGACUCUUGGUCAGAGGACCACGGAGUAUCCUGAGUUGGAAGGGAUCCACAGGGAUCAUUGAGGUCUACAAAGAGGCUUCAAAUGACUUCUGUAUGCACAGGAAUGCCUAUGAGAUAGAAAACACUAUAGAAAACCAGCACUUACAAGAAGAUGAC